rnacentral:piRNA from 1 species
UCGUUUAUCCCGUCGAUAAUA